rnacentral:rRNA from 1 species
GAUGAACGCUGACAGAAUGCUUAACACAUGCAAGUCUACUUGAUCCUUCGGGUGAUGGUGGCGGACGGGUGAGUAACGCGUAAAGAACUUGCCCUGCAGUCUGGGACAACAUUUGGAAACGAAUGCUAAUACCGGAUAUUAUGCGAGAUUCGCAUGUUUCUCGUAUGAAAGCUAUAUGCGCUGCAGGAGAGCUUUGCGUCCUAUUAGCUAGUUGGUGAGGUAACGGCUCACCAAGGCGAUGAUAGGUAGCCGGCCUGAGAGGGUGAACGGCCACAAGGGGACUGAGACACGGCCCUUACUCCUACGGGAGGCAGCAGUGGGGAAUAUUGGACAAUGGACCAAAAGUCUGAUCCAGCAAUUCUGUGUGCACGAUGAAGUUUUUCGGAAUGUAAAGUGCUUUCAGUUGGGACGAAGUAAGUGACGGUACCAACAGAAGAAGCGACGGCUAAAUACGUGCCAGCAGCCGCGGUAAUACGUAUGUCGCAAGCGUUAUCCGGAUUUAUUGGGCGUAAAGCGCGUCUAGGCGGUUUGGUAAGUCUGAUGCGAAAAUGCGGGGCUCAACUCCGUAUUGCGUUGGAAACUGUCAAACUAGAGUACUGGAGAGGUGGGCGGAACUACAAGUGUAGAGGUGAAAUUCGUAGAUAUUUGUAGGAAUGCCGAUGGGGAAGCCAGCCCACUGGACAGAUACUGACGCUAAAGCGCGAAAGCGUGGGUAGCAAACAGGAUUAGAUACCCUGGUAGUCCACGCCGUAAACGAUGAUUACUAGGUGUUGGGGGUCGAACCUCAGCGCCCAAGCUAACGCGAUAAGUAAUCCGCCUGGGGAGUACGUACGCAAGUAUGAAAACUCAAAGGAAUUGACGGGGACCCGCACAAGCGGUGGAGCAUGUGGUUUAAUUCGACGCAACGCGAGGAACCUUACCAGCGUUUGACAUCCUAGGAAGUUGGCAGAGAUGCCUUCGUGCCCCUUCGGGGGAACCUAGUGACAGGUGGUGCAUGGCUGUCGUCAGCUCGUGUCGUGAGAUGUUGGGUUAAGUCCCGCAACGAGCGCAACCCCUUUCGUAUGUUGCCAUCAUUAAGUUGGGAACUCAUGCGAUACUGCCUGCGAUGAGCAGGAGGAAGGUGGGGAUGACGUCAAGUCAUCAUGCCCCUUAUACGCUGGGCUACACACGUGCUACAAUGGGUAGUACAGAGAGUCGCUAACCUGCGAGGGGGAGCUAAUCUCAGAAAACUAUUCUCAGUUCGGAUUGUACUCUGCAACUCGAGUACAUGAAGUUGGAAUCGCUAGUAAUCGCAAAUCAGCUAUGUUGCGGUGAAUACGUUCUCGGGUCU